UAACAAUAGCAUUAAAAAAAAUGCAUACCGGUUUCGGCCCGGUAAGAGCGGCCACGCAUUGUUUU
rnacentral:tRNA from 1 species